rnacentral:rRNA from 1 species
AGAAUCAACGCUGGCGGCGUGCCUAACACAUGCAAGUCGAACGAGAAAGUGGAGCAAUCCACUAGUAAAGUGGCGCACGGGUGAGUAACACGUGACUAACCUACCUUUUAGUGGGGGAUAACCUAGGGAAACCUGGGCUAAUACCGCAUAAUACCUACGGGUCAAAGCAGCAAUGCGCUGAAAGAGGGGGUCGCGGUCGAUUAGUUAGUUGGCAGGGUAAUGGCCUACCAAGACUGUGAUCGAUA